rnacentral:rRNA from 1 species
GAUGAACGCUAGCGGUAGGCUUAACACAUGCAAGUCGAGGGGCAGCACGGUAGCAAUACUGGUGGCGACCGGCGCACGGGUGAGUAACGCGUAUGCAAUCUACCUUUAACUGGGGCAUAGCUUCGAGAAAUCGGAAUUAAUACCCCAUAAUAUUCACGAAUCGCAUGGUUUGUGAAUUAAAGCUCCGGCGGUUAAAGAUGAGCAUGCGUGACAUUAGUUUGUUGGUGAGGUAACGGCUCACCAAGACUACGAUGUCUAGGGGGUCUGAGAGGAUGGUCCCCCACACUGGUACUGAGACACGGACCAGACUCCUACGGGAGGCAGCAGUGAGGAAUAUUGGUCAAUGGGCGCAAGCCUGAACCAGCCAUACCGCGUGAAGGAUGAAGGCUCUAGUAGUUGUAAACUUCUUUUAUAUGGGAAGAAACCUACUCUCGUGAGAGUAGUUGACGGUACCAUAAGAAUAAGCACCGGCUAACUCCGUGCCAGCAGCCGCGGUAA